UACGGAGGGUGCAAGCGUUAUCCGGAUUCACUGGGUUUAAAGGGUGCGUAGGCGGGUAUAUAAGUCAGGGGUGAAAGCUCCGGGCUUAACUUGGAAACUGCCAUUGAUACUGUAUAUCUUGAAUGUCGUUGAGGUAAGCGGAAUGUUGCAUGUAGCGGUGAAAUGCUUAGAUAUGUUACAGAACACCAAUUGUGAAGACAGCUUACUAAGCGAUGAUUGACGCUGAGGCACGAAAGCGUGGGGAGCAAACAGG
rnacentral:rRNA from 1 species